rnacentral:lncRNA from 1 species
CUCGCUGUGUAUGAGCUUUAUACAAAAGUGCAAACAUGACACUGAAGUAUAAUUUUAGAUGAUUGAUUAUUGAUUGAAAUACUGAUUGAAAUACUGUACAUUCAUGACUAGGUGACUGAUGGGUCUCUGUCUGUCCUGUAGGCUGGCAGCUGAGCCACCCAACACCACCACAGUGGACAACGGCACAGUAAAGGACACUACAGUGCAGAAGACUACAGUGGAUAACCCAACAGUGGACAAUGCCGCCACAGUAGAUCAUUCUCCAGUGAAGCACCCUACAGUGGAUAACACUACAGUGAAUAGUGCCGCAGUGGAUAACUCCCCAGUGAAGCACCCUACAGAGAAGGACACUACAGAAAAAGGCUCUACAUUGAAGGACCCUACAGUCAACUCUACAGAAAUGGUGGACGUUGACAGUGUCAACGGGAACACUACAGAUAUCAAUGACAACAGGAAUGAUGUGCAGCACUGCGACAACCACAACCAGGAGAACCCAGCCAAACUGCACCACGUCAUCCAGCCAGAACAGACUGCCAGCUAGUGACUCAGCUCGAUAG